GUGGAAGCUGUCUCUCCAAGGCAACAUCCUCGUCCUAGGAAAUAAAACCGCCGAACAAAGGAUAGCUUGAUUGGUGGAACCUCAAGACCAUUAAAAAGAUUAGAGGGUUACUAACACCUGUGGAAUGAAGAGUUUAGAAGAGACCAGAUGACAACAUCACAAAACACUUGUCACAACUAGCAGUACUUCAGAACCUACUGAUAAUCCUGGCAGAAUGGCUAAGGACUGAACAAAACAAAACUACUCCUAGAAGUGGUCUGAAGAUUUCAUCUGAGGCUCCCUACAAGAAAACAAAGGGAAGUCUGCAUUGCCACUCCUUGUUCUGUACCUAUCCUGUGGAUAAUGAGAGCGAUCUACUCAUUAAGGCUGAAUUUAGCAGCCUUUACAAGGUCUAUAAGAAACUCCUGAACUAAGCAUUUAAAAAACCAAACAACAGAAACUGUCACCAACAUAAGCAGUGAGUAUUAUACCAAGACAGGAUGAACUGAUGUAGCUAGAGCUUCCUCUUUGACAAUGGUAAGAAACAGAGGAAAAAUAAUUCUCCUUGCACUUAUAUAGCACUGUAUCUGCCUUCACCUUAUCUUACUCUACACUUUACUAGCUGGGAAGUUGCUAUCACUAACGAAGUGGAGAAGCUACUUUCUAUUGAAUAAUUGGAAAAUUUCUUUGUGAAUUGAGGUUUGGUUCCCCAAAUACUCCCAAGUCCAAAUGAAUAUUCUUCCUGAUGCUCCUCCUUGAUAAAUUUGGCUUCAUAUUUAUAAGUAGCAUUAAUAACAAAUGUCACAACAUUAUUUUGGUAAAUACCCUAAUUUUCUGAAAAAUGCUGUUAUCUUUGUUAAUAUUGCUCACCACAGAUAUUUACAGAGCUGACCAAUUAAAGAAAAAACAUAAAUUUUGAAAUGUUUUUGUUAUUCUCUUGACUGGAAUAUUGUUCUCAAUAUUUUCUUAUCACAAGUCUCAAUAGCACAUAAGUAGAAGCUAUCAUAAAACCGUGUCAUUUUAUAUACUCAGAAGCUGAAAAAGAGAAUUUUUGGUGGCUUGUAACAAGUCCCAAAUUUAUAAUACAGCUAUUAUCACUCAGAUUUCUUUCUGGUACUUGAGUGGCUCUUAAGAUAGAAUUAAUACUGAAUAUUGUUGCCAGAUUCAACAUUUCCAGAAGCAACAAAGCUAUUUUAUCAUUCACCGUAGUACAGCACUCAGGCUUAAGAUUUAUCCACAGGCCCCAAUUCAGGAAAGAAAUUCAUUUAAAACAGCCUUUAUGCACAGGAAUAAGUUCCACUGAAGUUCAAUGAGGACCAGUUAGUUUCUUAAGGAGUUUCUGAGGAGAAACUCAGUAACAGAAACAAAUACACCCACUAAAAAAAAAAAAAUCUGGCUUUGUUAUGAAGAAAAACACUUGGGUUGAUUGGACCAGGAUGAAUAAAAAUAGACUUCCCUGAGAGGGUGACUGCCUGGCAAGUUAAAGCUGAGUUUCUUCCUUUCCCCUCUGGAGAACCUCUAAAAUAAAAUUGCCACUUGGUUUCUGUCUAGUUGA